rfam:Astyanax mexicanus chromosome 20, whole genome shotgun sequence.
ACAAAGCAUUGUUGUAAGUUGCUCUGGAUAAGGGCGUCUGCUAAAUGCCUUAAA